GCCUGAGUGGCUCAGCGGUUGAGCAUCUGCCUUUGGCUCAGGGCAUGAUCCUGGAGUUUUAGGAUUGAGUCCUGCCUCGGGUU
rnacentral:tRNA from 1 species